UUGGAGGGCAAGUCUGGUGCCAGCAGCCGCGGUAAUUCCAGCUCCAAUAGCGUAUAUUAAAGUUGUUGCAGUUAAAAAGCUCGUAGUUGAAUUUCGGGAUUAGUACGUCGGUCGUGCCUUAGGUACGUACUGGUGUUACUGGUUCCUACCUUCUGACGAACCAUCAUGUCAUUAAUUUGGUGUGGUGGGGAAUCAGGACUGUUACUUUGAAAAAAUUAGAGUGUUUAAAGCAGGCUCGCGCUUGAAUACAUUAGCAUGGAAUAAUGAAAUAGGACGUUGAUCCUAUUUUGUUGGUUUCUAGGAUUGACGUAAUGAUUAAUAGGGAUAGUUGGGGGCAUUAGUAUUCAAUUGUCAGAGGUGAAAUUCUUGGAUUUAUUGAAGACUAACUACUGCGAAAGCAUUUGCCAAGGAUGUUUUCAUUAAUCAAGAACGAAAGUUAGGGGAUCGAAGACGAUCAGAUACCGUCGUAGUCUUAACCAUAAACUAUGCUGACUAGGGAUCGGAUGAUGUUAUUUUUAAUGACUCAUUCGGCGCCUUACGGGAAAC
rnacentral:rRNA from 1 species